rnacentral:lncRNA from 1 species
ACAAUUUCUCUCUCCCACGUUCUUUCAAUUUAAUCAUAUUAUCUCUCUCCUACGAUACUCUCAAUUUGGCCAUUAUAAAACUUUUGCUUUUCGUGUACAAAUCAACAAAUUUCUGUUAUCUACCCCAAUCACAUUAACAAAUUUCAAAAUCGAAAAAUUCCCCAAUAGAAACCCUUUUCAUCAACCCUUUUCUCAUCUUUCUCUGAUUCCACCAUGGCCUCGGCUUGCUGUCCUGUAACACCGCUCUCCGUUCGCUCAUGAAUUCUGACAGAUUCAGCCGCCAUUCUUCAGUCGCUCAUAAAAGGGUUUAGGGUGAAAGAAGAAGAGAAUAGAGGGAAGGGAGAGUAUAGGGGAAAGGGAGUCACGUCACAGCGGUGUUCCUGUCGGCAGCGGGUUGGUGGCCAUGACGCUAAUUGACAACGUCGACUAAUUACCGGAAAUUAAGAAGUGAAAGGGGACCUCUGGAUUUUGGAAUGAGGGUUUGUUUAUCUUCACUGUUCAGCAUAUGAUUGAGAGGAGAAGUGAGGGAGAGUAGUGCUCUGAAAGAUUCUCCAAAAAAGCCGGUAGAUCAGAGCAGAGAAGAAACGAGAUCUAGCGAGAAAAGUAGUGAGGCGGCGGAGGGAUCGAGGGAGAAAGGAGGAAAUGACACACACGGACGAAAAAAAAGAACUAUAGCUCAAUCACCUAAAAUUCUACCGCCUCAAUUCAAUCGAAACGCGUCUUCUUGCCCUUCCCGAAAGCACCGCAACAUCCGUACGAUGAAACCUUGAGGCUUGAGCGAAGGCGGCUCCAUCGCCGGCGACGGAAUUCCCUCCAGCCGUUAGAUCGUCUCCUCUUGAUCGUCAAUCCAGUGAGCGGGGAUGACAAUUUAUUUAGGGCAGUGGUUACCAGAUCUUUCUUAUUCUCUCUGCUGCUGCUGCACUCCUUGACGCAAAAAGAAAAGAAAAGAAAGCAAUGGAGAAGAAGAAGCUGUAGCGGCGCUGGAUUGGGAAAAAUGUAAUAGGGCUUUCACUAUUUUACUUUUUAAUUAUAUUAAUAGUAGUAUUUUUGUAGUUAAGAGGUGCGGUUUUUCGUGUAGAGAGAAAUGUGUGUGAAAUGGCCACACAUAUUUUAAUUGGAGUUAAAAAGAACUUUAUUUUAUAUGCUAAAAUAGAAUUAUAAAAAUAUUAAGUAAAUACUAAUUGCUUAGUAUAGCAAAGUAGUGCGUAUAUAUAAUGAUUAAAUCAAAAACAAAAUUU